GGCUGGCCUGCUGACCGACUGGUGGAGGAGAUAAUAAUAGCACCCUGCUGGCACACUGAUGAUGCUGUCAGCGAAUAGGACUUGCAUCGCCGUAAAAUGGACCGAGGGAAUGGACUGGCUGGCCUGCUGACCGAGGGAGAAGACGGACUGGCUGGCCUGCUGACCGAGGGAGAAGACGGACUGGCUGGCCUGCUGACCGAGGGAGAAGACGGACUGGCUGUCCUGCUGACCGGGGGAAUGGACUGGCUGGCCUGCUGACCGACUGGUUGAGGAGAUAAUAAUAGCACUCUGCUGGCACACUGAUGAUGGCGUCAGCGAGUAGGACUUGCAUCCGUAAAAAGGACUUAGGACUUCAACCGAGGGAAAGGACCGACUGGCUGACGGACUGGUGGA
rnacentral:lncRNA from 1 species